rnacentral:rRNA from 1 species
GAUCGCUAGUAAUCGCAGGUCAGCAUGCCGCGGUGAAUGUGUUCCUGAGCCUUGUACACACCGCCCGUCAAGCCACGAAAGGGAGGAGCGCCCGAAGUCGCCUCACCAAGCCGGCGCCGAGGCAGGCGCCGAAGAUGGGC